GACGAACGCUGGCGGCGUGCCUAAUACAUGCAAGUAGAACGCUGAAGGAGGAGCUUGCUUCUCUGGAUGAGUUGCGAACGGGUGAGUAACGCGUAGGUAACCUGCCUGGUAGCGGGGGAUAACUAUUGGAAACGAUAGCUAAUACCGCAUAAUAGUAGAUGUUGCAUGACAUUUGCUUAAAAGGUGCAAUUGCAUCACUACCAGAUGGACCUGCGUUGUAUUAGCUAGUUGGUGGGGGAACGGCUCACCAAGGCGACGAUACAUAGCCGACCUGAGAGGGUGGUCGGCCACCCUGGGACUGAGACACGGCCCAGAAUCCUACGGGGGGCAGCAGUAGGGAAUCUUCGGCAAUGGACGGAAGUCUGACCGAGCAACGCCGCGUGAGUGAAGAAGGUUUUCGGAUCGUAAAGCUCUGUUGUAAGAGAAGAACGAGUGUGAGAGUGGAAAGUUCACACUGUGACGGUAUCUUACCAGAAAGGGACGGCUAACUACGUG
rnacentral:rRNA from 1 species